rnacentral:rRNA from 1 species
UAGAGUUUGAUCCUGGCUCAGAAUGGACGUUGGCGGCGUGGAUUAGGCAUGCAAGUCGAACGAGAACCGACCUUUCGGGGUUGGGGAAAGUGGCAAACGGGGUAGUAAUGUGUCGGUACGUGCCCUCAGGUCGGGGAUAGCCAGGGGAAACUCUGAUUAAUACCCGAUGAUCUCGAGAGAGCAAAGGUCCGCUGCCGGAGGAGCGGCCGACAUGGUAUCAGGUAGUUGGUGAGGUAACGGCCCACCAAGCCUUAGACGCCUAGGGGGCGUGAGAGCGCGACCCCCACCACUGGGACUGAGAUACUGCCCAGACACCUACGGGUGGCUGCAGUCGAGAAUCUUCCGCAAUGGGCGAAAGCCUGACGGAGCGACGCCGCGUGCGGGAUGAAGGCCCUUGGGUUGUAAACCGCUGUCAGGGGGGAUGAAAGCGCAAGCUUGACAGAGCCCCAGAGGAAGCACGGGCUAAGUUCGUGCCAGCAGCCGCGGUAAGACGAACUGUGCGAACGUUAUUCGGAAUCACUGGGCUUACAGGGUGCGUAGGCGGCCUGUUAAGUAGGGUGUGAAAUCCCCCGGCCCAACCGGGGAAUGGCGCUCUAAACUAGCAGGCUUGAGUGAGCUAGGGGUGCACGGAACUUCCAGUGGAGCGGUGAAAUGUGUUGAUAUUGGAAGGAACACCGGAGGCGAAAGCGGUGCACUGGGGCUUAACUGACGCUGAGGCACGAAAGCCAGGGUAGCGAACGGGAUUAGAUACCCCGGUAGUCCUGGCCCGUAACGAUGAGCACUGGGCGGGAGGAGGUUCGCCUCUUCCGGCCGUAGCGAAAGCGUUAAGUGCUCCGCCUGGGGGAGUAU